rnacentral:rRNA from 1 species
CAUGCAAGUCGACGAUGAUGCCCAGCUUGCUGGGCGGAUUAGUGGCGAACGGGUGAGUAAUACGUGAGUAACCUGCCCUUGACUCUGGGAUAAGCCUGGGAAACUGGGUCUAAUACUGGAUACUACCUCUUGCCGCAUGGUGGGUGGUGGAAAGGGUUUUACUGGUUUUGGAUGGGCUCACGGCCUAUCAGCUUGUUGGUGGGGUAAUGGCUCACCAAGGCGACGACGGGUAGCCGGCCUGAGAGGGUGACCGGCCACACUGGGACUGAGACACGGCCCAGACUCCUACGGGAGGCAGCAGUGGGGAAUAUUGCACAAUGGGCGGAAGCCUGAUGCAGCGACGCCGCGUGAGGGAUGACGGCCUUCGGGUUGUAAACCUCUUUCAGUAGGGAAGAAGCGAGAGUGACGGUACCUGCAGAAGAAGCGCCGGCUAACUACGUGCCAGCAGCCGCGGUAAUACGUAGGGCGCAAGCGUUGUCCGGAAUUAUUGGGCGUAAAGAGCUCGUAGGCGGUUUGUCGCGUCUGCUGUGAAAGCCCGGGGCUCAACCCCGGGUCUGCAGUGGGUACGGGCAGACUAGAGUGCAGUAGGGGAGACUGGAAUUCCUGGUGUAGCGGUGAAAUGCGCAGAUAUCAGGAGGAACACCGAUGGCGAAGGCAGGUCUCUGGGCUGUUACUGACGCUGAGGAGCGAAAGCAUGGGGAGCGAACAGGAUUAGAUACCCUGGUAGUCCAUGCCGUAAACGUUGGGCACUAGGUGUGGGGGACAUUCCACGUUUUCCGCGCCGUAGCUAACGCAUUAAGUGCCCCGCCUGGGGAGUACGGCCGCAAGGCUAAAACUCAAAGGAAUUGACGGGGGCCCGCACAAGCGGCGGAGCAUGCGGAUUAAUUCGAUGCAACGCGAAGAACCUUACCAAGGCUUGACAUUCACCGGACCGCCCCAGAGAUGGGGUUUCCCUUCGGGGCUGGUGGACAGGUGGUGCAUGGUUGUCGUCAGCUCGUGUCGUGAGAUGUUGGGUUAAGUCCCGCAACGAGCGCAACCCUCGUUCUAUGUUGCCAGCACGUGAUGGUGGGGACUCAUAGGAGACUGCCGGGGUCAACUCGGAGGAAGGUGGGGAUGACGUCAAAUCAUCAUGCCCCUUAUGUCUUGGGCUUCACGCAUGCUACAAUGGCCGGUACAAAGGGUUGCGAUACUGUGAGGUGGAGCUAAUCCCAAAAAGCCGGUCUCAGUUCGGAUUGAGGUCUGCAACUCGACCUCAUGAAGUCGGAGUCGCUAGUAAUCGCAGAUCAGCAACGCUGCGGUGAAUACGUUCCCGGGCCUUGUACACACCGCCCGUCAAGUCACGAAAGUUGGUAACACCCGAAGCCGGUGGCCUAACCCCUUG